UAGAAGAUGGGACUAGAGAUGAAGG
rnacentral:piRNA from 2 species